AACACUUGCUUGUAUUCAAUUAGAUAAGAUAUAAGUUCACCACCAACGAAGAUAAAGUACAAGUAGUACUCAAGAAACCAAAACAAACUCAUCUACCUCUACAUUCUAAAAGAUUAGAAAACCAUUCAUAAAACAAAACAUAAGUAACCCAAUUUUCUCUCCAAAAAUAUUCUCUCUCAUUCCUGCCCAUCCAAAGUCAUAUGCCAAAUUAGCAAUAAUCGUUUUGGCAACUUUUCUUUCUUGGAAUAGAAGCAAAAGCUUUCUAAUAAGACAAAGAGGUUUUCCGUAGCGAAGGUUGAAAAGCUCUCUCCGACAUCCCCAUGUGUUUGGCCCAAUUGUUGUUGUUGGGCGCAACUUGGGGGUGCCGGGGGCAAUAACCUCAUGGUACGAUUCACAGAUUACUAGAGCACUUCCCCCAAAACCGGAGUAUGGCAUCUAAAAACACACAUCCCCAAGAGUAAUUGAUAAAAAAGACGGAGUAUGGUCCGCAACUGAACUCCUUCAACCAAACUUGCAUCUUUCAUUCAUCAAGAAACCAACCUUACAUCCCUCACGCUUCAUUCUUCAGAAGUUUGUGCAGAAUAGUUUUAGUCAAUAUAUAUUCUAAAUUAGGUGACAUGGUUUUGGCUAGAAAUGUGUUUGAUUCCAUGGUUGAUAAAGAUUUAGUGUGUUGGAACUCUUUUGAUUGAUGGGUAUGCUUGAAUUAGCGUUGAAGAUGUUUGAUGAAAUGCCUAGUAGGGAUGACUGGAAAUUGGCUAAUAGUGUCGAUCCGAGGCAUACUGUACACGUAUUGGGCAGGAGUGGCAGCUUAUCAGGACAAGAGCUAUAGGGAAGUGAGAAUGCACAAGAUGCAUCUAGAGAGGGAAGAUAUAAAUGCAAUCUUGAUGCUUUGUUUUCACAACAACGAAACCGUGUUUAUUUUGGUUUGUACCAGAGAUAACGAGGGUCGUUUUGUGCUUGCCAAAAUAUCGUGGUCCUCACCUAUAUGUAAUGUGGAUGUAGUAGAAAGCAUUGAUUUGAGAUUUUUAUAUGCUAUUACAUGGGGUUCACCAGCUGCAGUUAGGAAUUGAUUUUGCUGUAUUCGAAAAAAGGUAGUAAAUUAUUUUAUAAGGUAGAAAUGAUGUUAUAGAGUU